rnacentral:sRNA from 1 species
GCUGGGUGUGGUGGCACAUGCCUGUAAUCCCAGCAGCUCAGGAGGCUGAGGCAGGAGGAUUGAAAGUUCAAAGCCAGCCUUAGCAACUUAAGCAUAAGGCUCUAAAGAAACUUAACAAAACCCCGUCUCAA